rnacentral:ncRNA from 1 species
CCUAGCCUUNGUAAUCAAUUAUNACUUAAUAUACACAUGCAAGUCUCCGCACCCCUGUGAAAACGCCCUUAAAUCCCCACUUGGGACAAGGAGCUGGUAUCAGGCACAACUCUUAGCCCAAGACACCUAGCUACGCCACACCCACACGGGAACUCAGCAGUGAUUAACAUUGAACAUAAGCGACAGCUUGACUCAGUUAAAGUAAAAAGAGCCGGCAAAUCUGGUGCCAGCCGCCGCGGUUACACCACGUGGCUCAAAUUGAUUUCUUUCGGCGUAAAGCGUGAUUAAAGUUAUAAAAAAAUUAUAGUUAAACUAAAACUAAGCUGUGACACGCUUGUACUUAGGAAAACCAAAAACGAAAGUUACUAUAAUUAGAACAACUUGAAUCCACGACAGUUGGGGCACAAACUGGGAUUAGAUACCCCACUAUGCCUAACCGUAAACUUUUAAUUACACCACNUAUCGCCUGGGAACUACGAGCAAAGCUUAAAACCCAAAGGACUUGACGGUANCCCCACAUCCACCUAGAGGAGCCUGUCCUAUAAUCGAUAACCCCCGUUUAACCUCACCAUUUUUAGCUUAUCAGCCUGUAUACCUCCGUCGUCAGCUUACCACAUGAGCGACUCUUAGUGAGCUUAACGCCCUUACGCCAAUACGUCAGGUCAAGGUGCAGCAAAUAAAAUGGGAAGAGAUGGGCUACACUUUCUAUCAUAGAAGAUACGAAAAACUAUUUAUGAAACCUAGUUAGAAGGCGGAUUUAGUAGUAAAAAGAGACAAGAGAGCUCUUUUUAACAUGGCACUGGGGUGUGUACACACCGCCCGUCACCCUCUUCAAAGCUAACAAAAAGUUAAUAACACACCAUAGCACUACAGAAGAGGCAAGUCGUAACAUGGUAUAGUAUAC